rnacentral:rRNA from 1 species
GACGAACGCUGGCGGCGUGCUUAACACAUGCAAGUCGAACGGAAAGGCCCUGCUUUUGUGGGGUGCUCGAGUGGCGAACGGGUGAGUAACACGUGAGUAACCUGCCCCUGACUUUGGGAUAACUUCAGGAAACUGGGGCUAAUACCGGAUAGGAGCUCCUGCUGCAUGGUGGGGGUUGGAAAGUUUCGGCGGUUGGGGAUGGACUCGCGGCUUAUCAGCUUGGUGGUGGGGUAGUGGCUUACCAAGGCUUUGACGGGUAGCAGGCCUGGGAGGGUGACCGGCCACAUUGGGACGGGGAUACGGCCCAGACUCCUACGGGAGGCAGCAGUGGGGAAUAUUGCACAAUGCGCGGAAGCCUGAUGCAGCAACGCCGCGUGCGGGAUGACGUCCUUCGGGUUGUAAACCGCUUUCGCCUGUGACGAAGCGUGAGUGACGGUAAUGGGUAAAGAAGCACCGGCUAACUACGUG